rnacentral:rRNA from 1 species
CAUCACUACGCUAGAUGCAUAUCAAUAAGCGGAGGAAAAGAAACUAACAAGGAUUCCCCUAGUAACGGCGAGUGAAGCGGGAAGAGCUCAAAUUUGAAAUCUUAAAGGGUUCUACCUUGACGAAUUGUAGUUUAAAGAAGUGUUUUCUGUUGGAGUUUUCGGUAAAAGUUCUUUGGAAUAGGACAUCAUAGAGGGUGAGAAUCCCGUAUUUGACCAUUACUUUCCAACUGUGUGAUACACUUUCAAAGAGUCGGAUUGUUUGGGAAUGCAGUCCAAAAUGGGUGGUAAAUUUCAUCUAAAGCUAAAUAUUGGCGAGAGACCGAUAGCGAACAAGUACCGUGAGGGAAAGAUGAAAAGAACUUUGAAAAGAGAGUUAAACAGUACGUGAAAUUGUCAAAAGGGAAGCGUUUGACACCAGUGUUGUUUAGUUGAAAAUCAAUUCAAUAAUGGUUGGAUGUUGAGUAGUAUUGACUUCAUCAGCUUGCUGCUUUCUUUUCAGAAAUUAUUGAAUGCACUUUUCAGUUAACAAGUCAACAUCAAUUUCUUUUGUUGUAAAAGGGUAAGAGGAAGGUGGCUUACGCUUCGGCGUAAGUGUUUAUAGCCUUUUACCUCUGCAAUCGGAGAGAUUGAGGACAGCAGCGUAGACUCUUCGGGGUUAGAUACACUUGUGCUAAGCUAUAGCCUUGUAUAGACAACUUGUUGACUAUGCUCAGUCAUGUAGCUUACUCGCUUGUGCUAUUUUACCUACGCUUAGGAUGUUGACGAGACUGUCGAUCUC